rnacentral:sRNA from 1 species
GCCAGGCACAGUGGCGCACACCUGUAAUCCCAGCGGCUUGGGAGGCUGAGACAGGAGGAUCGCAAGUUCAAAGCCACCCUCAGCAAAAGCAAGGUAUUGAGCAACUCAGUGAGACCCUGUCUCUA